GGCGGACGGGUGAGAAAUGCUUGGGAACUUGCCUUUGCGAGGGGGAUAACAGUUGGAAACGACUGCUAAUACCGCAUAAUGUCUUCGGACCAAACGGGGCUUCGGCUCCGGCGCAAAGAGAGGCCCAAGUGAGAUUAGCUAGUUGGUAAGGUAACGGCUUACCAAGGCGACGAUCUCUAGCUGUUCUGAGAGGAAGAUCAGCCACACUGGGACUGAGACACGGCCCAGACUCCUACGGGAGGCAGCAGUGGGGAAUAUUGCACAAUGGGGGAAACCCUGAUGCAGCCAUGCCGCGUGUGUGAAGAAGGCCUUCGGGUUGUAAAGCACUUUCAGUUGUGAGGAAAAGUUAGUAGUUAAUACCUGCUAGCCGUGACGUUAACAACAGAAGAAGCACCGGCUAACUCCGUGCCAGCAGCCGCGGUAAUACGGAGGGUGCGAGCGUUAAUCGGAAUUACUGGGCGUAAAGCGCACGCAGGCGGUUUGUUAAGCUAGAUGUGAAAGCCCCGGGCUCAACCUGGGAUGGUCAUUUAGAACUGGCAGACUAGAGUCUUGGAGAGGGGAGUGGAAUUCCAGGUGUAGCGGUGAAAUGCGUAGAUAUCUGGAGGAACAUCAGUGGCGAAGGCGACUCCCUGGCCAAAGA
rnacentral:rRNA from 1 species